CGCGCGCCUACUACCGGUGGACCCGCGCCCACGACCUGCGCGGCUUCCUCAACUUCACGCUGGCGCGAGCCCCGUCCUCCUUCGCCGCCGCGCACAACCGCACGUGCAGGUAUCGGGCUUUCCGGGAUGACGAUGGACAUUAUUCCCAGACCUACUGGAAUCUUCUUGCCAUCCGCCUGGCCUUCGUCAUUGUGUUUGAGGUAGCCGAGGCACCUGCUGGUUCUCCCAUCCAUGGCAUGAUGCCCCGACCCUGUGCUUUGCCUAAUUCGAGCACGUGGUGAGGGGUCGGUGCCGUCACUUCCUGCUGUGUCAUCUUGGUCAAAUCAGAGCUCUUCUCUGCACCUGCGUUUUCCCUGCCUGGCCUCAUCCCUGGGUUGUGGUGUGGACAUUGUGGGUGUCUCCACAGGAGCCCCAGGGCCACGAAAGCUGGGGUGGCCUCUGCCCUUUCUGGGGUUCCUUUUCCUGCACAGCUGCUUUCAGACACCACCCACAGCUGGGAGCAGGUGCCGGAGCCCCGGCCUGCCUGGCCCUGUGAAGGCCACUCUGGGCGUUUGGGUGGGCGUGAGUGCCUUCCUCUGCUCCCAGCAUGUGGUUUUCUCCGUUGGCCGCCUCCUGGACCUCCUGGUGCCUGACAUCCCAGAGUCUGUGGAGAUCAAAGUGAAGCGGGAGUACUACCUGGCUAAGCAGGCACUGGCUGAGAAUGAGGUUCUUUUUGGAACGAACGGAACAAAGGAUGAGCAGCCCCAGGGCUCAGAGCUCAGCUCCCACUGGACACCCUUCACGGUUCCCAAGGCCAGCCAGCUGCAGCAGUGACGCCUGGAAGGACAUCUGGUGGUCCUUAGGGGAGUGGCCCCUCCUGAGCCCUGCAAGCAGCGUCCUUUUCCUCUUCCCUCAGGCAGCGGUUGUGUGAACCGCUGGCUGCUGUUGUGCCUCAUCUCUGGGCACAUUGCCUGCUUCCCCCCAGCGCCGGCUUCCCUCCUCAGAGCGCCUGUCACUCCAUCCCCGGCAGGGAGGGACCGUCAGCUCACAAGGCCCUCUUUGUUUCCUGCUCCCAGACAUAAGCCCAAGGGGCCCCUGCACCCAAGGGACCCUGUCCCUCAGUGGCCUCCCCAGGCCCCUGGACACGACAGUUCUCCUCAGGCAGGUGGGCUUUGUGGUCCUUGCCGCCCCUGGCCACAUCACCCUCUCCUCUUACACCUGGUGACCUUCGAAUGUUGCAGAGCGCAGGGCCGUUCUCCCUCGUGUCCUCUGGACCCACCCGCCUCUUCCUGCCCUGUCCGCGCAGGGACAUCACCCACAUGCCCCAGCUCUCGGACCCUGCAGCUCUGUGUCCCAGGCCACAGCAAAGGUCUGUUCAGCCCCUCUCUCCAUUCCCAGUUAUCUGGGUCCUCUGGAUUCUUCUGUUUCUUGAAUCAGGCUCUGCUUUCCCCCUAGCCACUACAGGCAGCCUCUGACAGUGCCGCUUUACUUGCAUUCUGCAGCAAUUACAUGUGUCCUUUUGAUCCUUGCCCAACUUCCCUCCCUCUCCCAGCUCCUGGCCCCUGGCCCAGGGCCCCUCUUGCUGUUUUUACCUCUGUUCCUUGGGGCCUAGUACCCAGCAAGCACCCAAAUGGGGGAGGUUUUGGGAUGAGAGGAGGAAACGUGUAUACCUGUAACAUCUGGUGGCUCUUCCCCCAGAAGUUUGUGUUCAUACAUAAUUGUUUUCCACGCUGGAUCAUAAUGUGACGUGCAGUUCUGCCCAGUGCUGGGGAGCCACAUGAAGCUGCCCCUGGCUAACUUGCUACCCCGCAGCAAUCCCAGUGUGGCCGUCUGCUUGCUAAAAAAUGGAUCUGUGCUCAUCUGUAUUGAUGUCCUUGCAGUUCUACAAGUGGAACUUAAGUGUCAAAAAGAAUAUGUGGUUUUUAG
rnacentral:sRNA from 1 species